rnacentral:rRNA from 1 species
GACGGGUGAGUAACACGUGGGCAACCUGCCCAACAGAGGGGGAUAACACUUGGAAACAGGUGCUAAUACCGCAUAAUUUGUUUUCCCGCAUGGGAGAAUAAUAAAAGACGCUUCGGUGUCACUGUUGGAUGGGCCCGCGCUGCAUUAGUUAGUUGGUGGGGUAAUGGCCUACCAAGACCGUGAUGCAUAGCCGACCUGAGAGGGUGAUCGGCCACACUGGGACUGAGACACGGCCCAGACUCCUACGGGAGGCAGCAGUAGGGAAUCUUCGGCAAUGGACGAAAGUCUGACCGAGCAACGCCGCGUGAGUGAAGAAGGUUUUCGGAUCGUAAAACUCUGUUGUUAGAGAAGAACAAGUGGGAGAGUAACUGUUCCCACCUUGACGGUACCUUAUUAGAAAGCCACGGCUAACUACGUGCCAGCAGCCGCGGUAAUACGUAGGUGGCAAGCGUUGUCCGGAAUUAUUGGGCGUAAAGCGCGCGCAGGCGGUCCUUUAAGUCUGAUGUGAAAGCCCACGGCUCAACCGUGGAGGGUCAUUGGAAACUGGGGGACUUGAGUGCAGGAGAGGUUAGUGGAAUUCCAAGUGUAGCGGUGAAAUGCGUAGAGAUUUGGAGGAACACCAGUGGCGAAGGCGACUAACUGGCCUGUAACUGACGCUGAGGCGCGAAAG